UACGGAGGAUCCAAGCGUUAUCCGGAUUUAUUGGGUUUAAAGGGUGCGUAGGCGGUUCUUUAAGUCAGGGGUGAAAGACGGUAGCUUAACUAUCGCAGUGCCUUUGAUACUGAAGAACUUGAAUACACUUGAGGUAGGCGGAAUGUGACAAGUAGCGGUGAAAAUGCAUAGAUAUGUCACAGAACACCAAUUGCGAAGGCAGCUUACUAAAAGUGUCAUUGACGCUGAGGCACGAAAGCGUGGGGAUCAAACAGG
rnacentral:rRNA from 1 species